CACCGCGGUUAAACGGGGGGCCCAAGUUGAUAACAACGGCGUAAAGCGUAGUUAGGACAAAAAUACAGAUAGGGCCGAUUACUCUCAGAGUAGUGAAAUACAUCCGAGACCAACAAGCACACCCACGAAAGUAGCCCUAAUUUCUCUGACCCUACGAAAGCUAUAGCA
rnacentral:rRNA from 1 species